AAUCAUCAGGGCUGUCGGAAAGCUCAAACCAAGUAGCACUGUGUUGAAACAGCAGAAAGCAGAAGAGUCUGCUGAACGCACUUGUCCAGGAAUCGGAUGGCAGAGGGGAAGAAGCUGUUCCUGAAUCGCUGAGUGUGUGUCUUCAGGCUUCUGUACCUCCUACCUGAUGGUAACAGUGAGAAAAGGGCAUGCCCUGGAUGCUGGAGGUCCUUAAUAAUGGAUGCUGCCUUUCCGAGACACCACUCCUUGAAGAUGUCCUGGGUACUUUGUAGCACAAAAGAAUGCAGUACCAAAGCCCUCAGAGACCAAGAGAAGAACAGUUCAAGUUUGGAGAUUGCUUGGGUAUUCCAGCGCUCUACGAUCUCCAAGAGGAUUCCAGGAAGCAGAGGCAGCACGCGGGCACCUCGUGCAAAGAAGGUGCAAGCUGAAGUUCAACUCCAUUUUGCUAAAGAUUUCAUUGUUUGCCGAUUAAGCGAAAAGGGAGGUUGAAACAUCGAGUUGAAUGCAGAAGUUUGGAGAUCCUUUGGGUGAUUCAGCACUCUGCAGUCUACGAGAGGAUUCCAGGAGGCAGAGGCAGUGUGCACGAGCCUCGUGGCGGGCAGGCUGCGGGAUGGGGUUCAAGCCGAUGUUUGACUUCAUUUUGUUGAUUAAAGUGAUGAGGGAGAUUGAAGCAUCGAGGCGAAUGUGAAAGGGUUCUUUUGAAGACUCUGACCUGCAGGUGCAUGCUGACUUCGGUUCUUUGCGGGAAUGGGACCUGCACUUGGACUCUCACAAAUGGCCGUUAUUUGAGAUGCCAAGAACGUGGCCUAGAGGAUUAGCACGCCUUCGGAGUUUUGGGAUUUCAUGGCAGGCGGACUCGAGGUCAGUGCCUCUGCAGGAAAUUGGUAUGUCGUGGGAGACAGAAGAUUGAAAGCAGCUAGCUGGCAGCUGGCUGUGUGCCCAGGGACCCAAUUUCUUUGGGCACAGAGUUCGGAAAAAGGGAUGCAAUCGAUUUGUAACACUGUACAUCAGUGAUUAGUUUGUUAUGUUUCCCCUCUUGUGUGUGAAACGGGGACACUUCUUCUUCCCUUAUUAGGGAGUGAGAGAGCCUGUGGUAUGUCAAAUUACCGGGUGAACAAGUAGUUUUUGGGGUACUGCAAAUCUGUGUCUUUAUUGAUGACACAAUAAAGACACGCUUCA